UACGAAGGGGGCGAGCGUUGUUCGGAAUUACUGGGCGUAAAGGGCGCGCAGGCGGUCCUUCAAGUCAGAUGUGAAAGCCCCGGGCUCAACCUGGGAACAGCAUUUGAGACUGGAGGACUUGAGGACGGGAGAGGAGAGUGGAAUUCCCAAUGUAGAGGUGAAAUUCGUAGAUAUUGGGAAGAACACCAAUGGCGAAGGCAGCUCUCUGGACCGUUACUGACGCUGAGGUGCGAAAGCGUGGGGAGCAAACAGG
rnacentral:rRNA from 1 species